CAUGGUUGUAAUUCCGGCAAGCCGGAGGCGUUCUGGACAGGGGUUCGACUCCCCUCAUCUCCACCCAAGCGCAUGCGGGGUGCGUGUUCUUCGGUGGGGAUGUACCGGUUUCGACAGGGCGAGCGAGGGUGAGCAGGCAACCCGAGAGGCGACGGACGUAAUCCGCGCAAAUCCAUAAACGCCAACGAUGAGCGUUUCGCAGUCGCUGCUUAAGCUGACUGCCGGGGCCGCUGAAGCCUUGUAACCCAAGACAGCCGGUGGGGACUUCGGUCCCCAUCGUCA
rnacentral:tmRNA from 1 species